AGGGCGGGACACGUGGUAUCCUGUCUGAAUAUGGGGGGACCAUCCUCCAAGGCUAAAUACUCCUGACUGACCGAUAGUGAACCAGUACCGUGAGGGAAAGGCGAAAAGAACCCCGGCGAGGGGAGUGAAAAAGAACCUGAAACCGUGUACGUACAAGCAGUGGGAGCACGCUUAGGCGUGUGACUGCGUACCUUUUGUAUAAUGGGUCAGCGACUUAUAUUCUGUAGCAAGGUUAACCGAAUAGGGGAGCCGAAGGGAAACCGAGUCUUAACUGGGCGUUAAGUUGCAGGGUAUAGACCCGAAACCCGGUGAUCUAGCCAUGGGCAGGUUGAAGGUUGGGUAACACUAACUGGAGGACCGAACCGACUAAUGUUGAAAAAUUAGCGGAUGACUUGUGGCUGGGGGUGAAAGGCCAAUCAAACCGGGAGAUAGCUGGUUCUCCCCGAAAGCUAUUUAGGUAGCGCCUCGUGAAUUCAUCUCCGGGGGUAGAGCACUGUUUCGGCAAGGGGGUCAUCCCGACUUACCAACCCGAUGCAAACUGCGAAUACCGGAGAAUGUUAUCACGGGAGACACACGGCGGGUGCUAACGUCCGUCGUGAAGAGGGAAACAACCCAGACCGCCAGCUAAGGUCCCAAAGUCAUGGUUAAGUGGGAAACGAUGUGGGAAGGCCCAGACAGCCAGGAUGUUGGCUUAGAAGCAGCCAUCAUUUAAAGAAAGCGUAAUAGCUCACUGGUCGAGUCGGCCUGCGCGGAAGAUGUAACGGGGCUAAACCAUGCACCGAAGCUGCGGCAGCGACGCUGAUGCGUUGUUGGGUAGGGGAGCGUUCUGUAAGCCUGUGAAGGUGUGCUGUGAGGCAUGCUGGAGGUAUCAGAAGUGCGAAUGCUGACAUAAGUAACGAUAAAGCGGGUGAAAAGCCCGCUCGCCGGAAGACCAAGGGUUCCUGUCCAACGUUAAUCGGGGCAGGGUGAGUCGACCCCUAAGGCGAGGCCGAAAGGCGUAGUCGAUGGGAAACAGGUUAAUAUUCCUGUACUUGGUGUUACUGCGAAGGGGGGACGGAGAAGGCUAUGUUGGCCGGGCGACGGUUGUCCCGGUUUAAGCGUGUAGGCUGGUUUUCCAGGCAAAUCCGGAAAAC
rnacentral:rRNA from 1 species